rnacentral:rRNA from 1 species
CCUACGGGUGGCAGCAGUGAGGCAUAUUUGUCAAUGUGCGGAAGCCUGACCCAGCCAAGUCGCGUGAGGGAUUAAGGCCCUGCGGGUCGUAAACCUCUUUUGCCGGGGAGCAGAGGUCCGGACGUGUCCGGGCCGGGAGAGUACCCGGAGAAAAAGCAUCGGCUAACUCCGUGCCAGCAGCCGCGGUAAUACGGAGGAUGCGAGCGUUAUCCGGAUUUAUUGGGUUUAAAGGUUGCGUAGGCGGGCAUUUAAGCCGGCGGUCAAAUGUCGGGGCUCAACCCCGGCCUGCCGUCGGAACUGGGUGCCUUGAGUGGGCGAGAAGUAUGCGGAAUGCGUGGUGUAGCGGUGAAAUGCAUAGAUAUCACGCAGAACCCCGAUUGCGAAGGCAGCAUACCGGCGCCCUACUGACGCUGAGGCACGAAAGUGCGGGUAUCGAACAGGAUUAGAUACCCCGGUAGUC